rnacentral:rRNA from 1 species
UACGUAGGCAGCGAGCGUUGUUCGGAGUUACUGGGCGUAAAGGGUGUGUAGGCGGUUCUCUAAGUUUGGUGUGAAAUCUCCCGGCUCAACCGGGAGGGUGCGCCGAAAACUGGGGGACUCGAGUGCGGGAUGGGAGAGUAGAAUUCCUGGUGUAGCGGUGAAAUGCGUAGAUAUCAGGAGGAAUACCGGUGGUGUAGCCGGCUCUCUGGACCGCCACUGACGCUGAGACACGAAAGCGUGGGUAGCAAACAGG